ACGGGAGACACACGGCGGGUGCUAACGUCCGUCGUGAAGAGGGAAACAACCCAGACCGCCAGCUAAGGUCCCAAAGUCAUGGUUAAGUGGGAAACGAUGUGGGAAGGCCCAGACAGCCAGGAUGUUGGCUUAGAAGCAGCCAUCAUUUAAAGAAAGCGUAAUAGCUCACUGGUCGAGUCGGCCUGCGCGGAAGAUGUAACGGGGCUAAACCAUGCACCGAAGCUGCGGCAGCGACGCUGAUGCGUUGUUGGGUAGGGGAGCGUUCUGUAAGCCUGUGAAGGUGGCCUGUGAGGGUUGCUGGAGGUAUCAGAAGUGCGAAUGCUGACAUAAGUAACGAUAAAGCGGGUGAAAAGCCCGCUCGCCGGAAGACCAAGGGUUCCUGUCCAACGUUAAUCGGGGCAGGGUGAGUCGACCCCUAAGGCGAGGCCGAAAGGCGUAGUCGAUGGGAAACGGGUUAAUAUUCCCGUACUUGGUGUUACUGCGAAGGGGGGACGGCGAAGGGGGGACGG
rnacentral:rRNA from 1 species